UCCAGCAAACAAGACGCACCAUUCACAACUCCGCGGCCCACGCCGCGCAUGCGCCGCCAGCCAGCCUGCGGGGUGGAUGGGCUGCGGCUAGCCCAGGUCCCUCCCGCAGCGCCGCGCUGUUCCACCUGGGUGUCCGCUGGCCGCUCAGUGUGAACUGCCCUGUGGGGGUCUGCCUGGCCCUCCCGGGUGCGGCCUUAGCCGGCCUUUUUGUCCGCCCUCUCCUCAGCCAUCUGGAACUUCUGGGCUCACCCGCCGCGGAGAGUAACCCUAGGCUGUCUACUGAAUCCGAAGAAACCCAAGUCCUUGGGGACUUUGUGUCCCCGGAUCGAUGGCGAGGGGUUUAGGUUGUGUACCUUGAAGGCCAAAGGGGAAAACAAACCAAAGAAACCAACUGAAUCAUUGUGGGAAGGUCGUGGCGGUUGGACUUGACAAGAACACAGUUCACGGAUGACAAAAACGUACUGUGAGGAUCCACCUGAACCCAGCGAUGAGUGCCAAGAUCAGCUGGCACUCCUCCCCCCUCGAAGCUUCCCUGCCACCCGCUGCUCUCAGCACCUCAGCCGGGCUGUGGGGAAAAGAAAGCAGAGAGGAGCGAGUUUCCUCAGAAUAGCAUUUCUUCAAUGUUGGGAUCAAUAAACC